UCUACAGUCUGUCCCCUGGCACUGAAGCCCAAGGACUUUGGUGCCCGGGUUCUGGCCUGCUUUUCACAUCGUUUAUGAGUGGGAAGUCGUAAGAAACCACCUCCCUCCUUAGGCUGCCACCUCCCAAAGUCUGCUCAAAUCGUAAUUCUCAGAGCACUUCCUUCCUCAAAGUCUGUUUCUUCUGCCUGCAAGAGUGGCACAAGUAUUAGUGACAAGAAAAGAGGGUAUAACAAACCGGAAGCAGAUGUCUGAACUAGGAAAGUGCUGAAGCAAGGAAUGGUCUCAGAAGACCUGCCAUCCCAGCACUCAAGGAAGAAAUAGGAUCAGGAUUUUAAGGCCAGCCUUGGCUGCACAGAAAGCUUGAGUCCAACAGACAAGGCUCCAGCCUCAGGGCUGACACCUCCUGAGGUUCCAGGCACCCAGGCACUGAUGGAAAUCUCUACAUAAGGCUGUUUCAAAGGGGAAAAAAAACCACCAGGACAUCAAUACUUCGAAACAUCCCUGUCUGGUGAUGCAAGGCUGCGUUGUUGACACACUUAGUGAGGAAGGACUGUGGGCAUCCGCUGGAGAAGUCCUCAGCUGGGUCAGAUCCUCCCACCGCCCACCCCAGACAGCUCCAAGUCUUAGUGAGUCAGUCAGGCCUCUGGCUUGCUUCUCAUUUCCUGCUAGGCUGUCCACUUAACCUGCCCCUGCAGCACCAACAUCCACACACUGUCCUGAUGCCACCAGGGUCACAUAAGUCACAGGGGAGCCACUUUCUUCCAGUUUAGGGUUUUAGAGCAGAAACCCUCUCCACUCUGCUGUUACUCUGAGGCCUGCCCAAGUGACUCUCAUCCCAUUUUCUGGUCUUGCCCAGUGAGUUUCUUCCUACCUGUCUCUGCACCUAAAUUCCUAGAACAAGUUCUCCACCACCUGCCAGGGUUCCUCUGUGCCUCCCUGUUCCUCUCUCCUCACCCAGCAGGACUGGCAGCUCCAGGCUUCACAUCUCUUGUCCAUUGGAACUAGGCCCUGCCAAAGUCAGGAGGGCCUCUCUCCCUCUGGUGCUUGAGGUGGCAUACCAAGCCAAGGCCUCAUCUAGACACCCAGAGGGCUGCUGUAGCACCUCAAGGUGCCCUAAAGCUAAAAUUAGGGGAAAUGAGCCACCACAGAACAAAUAAAGAAGGCUCAGAAAGAGAAAAGGAAAAACAUCCUCAUAAAUGCUCCCAGACAGAAUGCCGUCCCUAGGAAGGGAGGGGCUGGGGCGGUGCUGGGGGUAGGAAGGGUGACUCACCAAAGUCUCUUUCAGGGGCCUGGAGAAACAGAGGAGCCUUGACCCCCGGAAGGGUUCCUGUGGCUCCCUUUCCCUAAUGACCGGCCACACUCCUAAGUCAUUUUUCUCUUGCCAAGCAGGUUUCCCAGGAGAAUCUACAAAGUUUGGUAAGAACUAAGGGAGGCUGGGUAUGUUGGUACACACCCAUUAACCACAACACUCAGGAGGCAGAGGCAGGUGGAUCGCUGUGAGUUCUAGGUCAUCCAGGGCUACCUAGUAAGACCCUGACUCAAAAACAAAACAGAAGAACUAAGGGAGGUCAGCCAGCAGAGAAGACAGCCUGGGCACAGGCAGGUCCAGUCUCAGGCCUCCUCAACCAGGUGGCCUUCUGCCUGGUGCAGUCACCAAGGGCAGCUGCCCUGCCUUGACAUCCUCCCCACCCACUCCCACCCUCCAACCUCCACCCUCCCACCCCACCCCCACCCCCGUGGGCUAGAAUCAGGGAAAUCAAAUACAACAGAGCAAACAAGGAAGGCUUGGAAAGUGAAAGGGUGAGAAGCCAAGUGAAGGCCUUUGAGACCCACAGUCCCAGACCCUAGGCUCCUCCAGUUGGAGCAACCUGUCCCCACCCAGCAGCCGCAGGAACAGGCAGAGGCUGCUACUGAAACAUUCCCUAGGCUCUCCAUGAGCCCGACAAAGCUUUCUUGCCUUUCCGAAGGAACAUCUCUGAGAGGGCAGGGGAAACACACUCACCAAGGGGCAGCCAGGCCAGACAGAGGAGGCACUGGGUGUGGGGAGGAAAUCAAACAAGUCCCCGAGGGGCGGGAAUGGUGCUCAGGGCAAAGCGCAAGCCUAGAAUGUGCAAGGCAAAAGGCUGUAUUCCAACCCCAUCACUACGCGGGGUGAGGGGGCCUUUUAAAAAGCAAUUCGACACUGUGGUCUCAGGAGCCGUGCCUAGGUACACACACUUUGCAACAGUCACCAUCCCACAUCCAACGAAUACUCACACAUGCAAACAAAUGCUCAGCACCCCACCAUCUUCUCAUUUGCACCCCAAACUCUCGACGGGACAGGCCCUGGGACCCAAUCAGAGCUUCGGGACAGAAAAGAUGUUCCCAGGCCUUUUACAAAAGUCCCUACAGCUGUUGGCCCCUGUUUGGGGCUGAAAGACAACAACUCCACCUCACCCGAGGUGUCAGGUAGCCAGGCUUAUCGGGUCUGGGUAAGUGAGUUGUUGUCGGAUCCGGUUUCUUUGCCGUGGCAGCUCGUCCCCCCCCCCCCCCCCCCGCCUUUCCCCAAGUCCCCAGUUUUCCUCCACCAGGUGCUACCAGGGCAGGAAUGAGUGAUCACCCAGACCGUACGAAGCGCGCUCAGGCCGGGUCUAGCCCGGUAAGAAUUAAAGAAGAGAGGGCUCCGACGUUGCCCUUUGGGUUAGGCGGGGAGAUCGGACCCCACAGACAAACUCCAAAGCCCACGGAGGAGGUGGAGGGAAGGAUCCGCCACGCAGCCAAAGGCUGUCAGGAAGUCCCAGCGGCGCGGGAUUUGAUUGGCACUCUCUAGCCACCUACCCGGCUACUGUCACCAGACAGUCCCCGGGGAAGGCGACCCGAGGCACCCCGCCCCUCGAGGACCGGGGCCGGCGCGUCCUGGGAGGGUCCGGCCUCCGUCUCUGCUCCCCUUCCCACUUUACCUGCGGCGGUGGCGGCGGCGGCGCGGCGCGCGCGCCCGGGGGAGUGGUCAGUCCGUACCUGGCGGGGCGGGGCGGCGUCCCCACCACUUAAAAGUUACAAAGUGAAACUCCGGCGCCUCCUGCACAUGCGCAGAACUGUUUCCACGCGUUGCCUAAUUUGGACUCUUGGCUCCCGCCGGCGCCAGCUGAACGUUGAGGACUGUGCGCCGGGCAGUGAGCCUCUCUGUGGUUCUCUGACUCUGGUCCACGCGUGGCCGUCCUCACGGAGGUCUACGGGCGGAACCAAACCAGCUGACGCCCACAAGGCUGGGAGAGCGUGUCCCGACUGUCUCUCUGUGCCCUAGCACAUCCCCACUGAGAGGACACUGGGCCGUGUCUAGGAUGGUUGCGGCGUUGGAGAGCAUCUGCAAAUGUUCGUGAUUGAAUGUCCGCAGGAACUUCUAAGCUGGCCCAGUUGGGUUGCAGGGCGGGGGAGCACCAGGACACAGUGAA